AUGUUAAUGUUUAUGUCGGUAUAUGUGCCAGCUUACACCCAGAUUUGUUUUACCUUAUGCAGAAACUAUUGGAUACUUUACAUCAAGCUUGACCAAGUAUGUCCCUUGUUGCUGUUGUUAUACCUGGCGAUAGAGCUCUAUUGGUUUCUUCAAAGGGACAAAUGGCAGAAAAUAGCAAGUCCACAAGUUGAUCUAAGAUGCUCCGUGAUCGCUUUUGUUGAUAACAUGGUUGACACCUUUUGUUCAUACAAAAGUUCAUGUUGGCUUGGUGAUCGAAGAAUUGGUCUCUGCCAUCAAAUUUGUAGUAGUCAGUGA
rnacentral:rRNA from 1 species